rnacentral:lncRNA from 1 species
AGUUUUAAAAAUGUAAGUUUCUCUGCACAAGCUCUCUUUUUGCCUGCUGCCAUCCACGUAAGAUGUGACUUGCACCUCCUUGUCUUCUGCCACGAUUGUGAGGCUUCCCCAGCCAUGUGGAACUACAUCUACCCCUGGAGAAAGAGCCCAAUGAGAAGUAAUCUCUGAAGCCCAGAUUUCCUAAGGAUGAAGCUUCAGGAGAGGCCUUAUCAAUCCUGACAACAAACUUUUCUCGUCAAUUUAGUUUCAUUUAAUGGAAGUUUUAAAUGUGUAAAGUUCAGAAGGCUAUUAAAAUUGGUUCCAGCUAUCUAAGAUACACACACAACCACACACGCGCACACACGAAUACAAAUAUGCCUUCCCAAUCAUCUCCCAAAGUCUCAACUCAUUCCAGCGUUAACUCAAAGACCAAAAUUCAAAGUCUCAUCUGAAACAAGGUGUUGCCAAAGGAGAUUAUUAUUUGAGUCAGAGGACUGGGAGAAGCAGACCUACCCUCGAUCUGGGUGGGUGUCAUCUAGUCAGCUGCCAGUGUGGCUAGAAUGAAGCAGGCAGAAGUUGGAAAGAGCAGACCUGCUGAGUCUUCUGGCCCUCACCGUUCUCCCGUGCUGGAUUCUUCUGGCCCUCAAACAUCAGACUCCACGUUCUUCAGCUUUUGGACUCAUGGACUUACACCAGUGGUGUGCCAGGGCCUCUUGAGCCUUUGGUCACAGACUGAAGGCUACACUGUCAGCUUCUCUAAUUUUGAGGUUUUGGGACUCAGACUGAUCCACCACUGGCUUCCUUGCUCCUCAACUUGCAGAUGGCUUCUCACGGGACUUGACUUUAUGAUCAUACUUGGCCAAUAAGAUGUUCCUGCCUAAGACUUUGAAUCUGGAAUGGGGAACACAGAGAACAUGAGCAACGAAGAAUUAUUCACAGCACAGCACAGCAGUGCUGACAGCAUCGACAGUCCUGUGGUGCCAGCAAGAAUCCAAAAGAAGUGUCCUACAUAAAUUCCCUUAAUCACUGACCAUUUAAUGAGGCUGAUUCAGCCUCAUACAAAUUUUGUAUGCUUCUUCAUACAAUUUUUAAUUGUGCUGUAAAAGUUAACCAGAGACAAUUUCUGUUGCUUGCACACAGUAAGUUGACUAAGCAAAAAAAUUCAGGAGAGAUUAUUUUAUAGAAGUCAAUGCAAAUGCAUUAAUUUACAAGAAGUGAAACUGCAAGUUCACUUUGCUGCCUUAUGGCCAGCAUAUUCUCUUACAAGGGAAGUCUAUAUGGCAAUCUGUGUUAUGAUCAGAAGAUUUGGGAAAGAUGGAAUCUGUGAGAGAGUUUUAUGACACACGGUUACAACUGAUCACAGGAUCAAACACUAAAACUCCAAUAUAUAUAUUUAUUCUUAUUAGCAAAGCUUUUAUGCUAUGGAGGAAAAAGAAAAAGAAAUAAGAAAUUCUGAGUUUCUCUAAACUUCCAGUAUGUGGAUGAGUUAAAAACUAUGUCAUCUUGGAUUCCCCAUUUUAAAUAUUUCAUAAUAAUGCAUUAUAAUUGGUACAUGUUAAUAUCAAUUUUUUCUUUUGCUGUUUUUGAAGUGGUGUGAAUCACCUGUAACAAGGUUUCCUUAUCAUCCAUUUAAUUAUUGUCCUAUAAUAUACUUUUCAAUACAGCAACUACUUUUUAUGUUUUGGGAUUACUUUUACUAUUGUUAGAUAAAACCUAUGGUUGAUUGUGUGCCUCUAGAAGAACUUCAAAAGUACAAUAUAAAUCUUGCUAACA